rnacentral:rRNA from 1 species
GACGAACGCUGGCGGCGUGCCUAAUACAUGCAAGUUGAGCGCUGAAGGUUGGUACUUGUACCAACUGGAUCAGCAGCGAACGGGUGAGUAACGCGUGGGGAAUCUGCCUUUGAGCGGGGGACAACAUUUGGAAACGAAUGCUAAUACCGCAUAAAAACUUUAAACACAAGUUUUAAGUUUUAAAGAUGCAAUUGCAUCACUCAAAGAUGAUCCCGCGUUGUAUUAGCUAGUUGGUGAGGUAAAGGCUCACCAAGGCGAUGAUACAUAGCCGACCUGAGAGGGUGAUCGGCCACAUUGGGACUGAGACACGGCCCAAACUCCUACGGGAGGCAGCAGUAGGGAAUCUUCGGCAAAGGACGAAAGUCUGACCGAGCAACGCCGCGUGAGUGAAGAAGGUUUUCGGAUCGUAAAACUCUGUUGGUAGGGAAGAACGUUGGUGAGAGUGGAAAGCUCAUCAAGUGACGGUAACUACACAGAAAGGGACGGCUAACUACGUG